rnacentral:rRNA from 1 species
GUGUCAGCCGCCGCGGUAAUACGUAGGGGGCAAGCGUUGUCCGGAAUGAUUGGGCGUAAAGGGCGCGUAGGCGGCCUGUUAAGUCUGGAGUGAAAGUCCUGCUUUCAAGGUGGGAAUUGCUUUGGAAACUGGCGGGCUGGAGUGCAGGAGAGGUUAGCGGAAUUCCCGGUGUAGCGGUGAAAUGCGUAGAGAUCGGGAGGAACACCAGUGGCGAAGGCGGCUAACUGGACUGUAACUGACGCUGAAGCGCGAAAGUGUGGGGAGCAAACAGGAUUAGAAACCCUCGUAGUCC